UACAGAGGGGGCAAGCGUUAUUCGGAAUUAUUGGGCGUAAAGAGCUCGUAGGCGGUUCGUCGCGUCGGCUGUGAAAUCCCGAGGCUCAACCUCGGGUCUGCAGUCGAUACGGGCGGACUGGAGUUCGGCAGGGGAGACUGGAAUUCCUGGUGUAGCGGUGAAAUGCGCAGAUAUCUGGAGGAACACCGGUGGCGAAGGCGGCAUCCUGGACCAACACUGACGCUGAGGAGCGAAAGCCAGGGGAGCAAACGGG
rnacentral:rRNA from 1 species